AUGGAGAAGCUCUAUACAGUCAACAAAACAAGACCAGGAGCUGACUGUGGCUCAGAUCAUGAACUCCUUAUUACCAAAUUGAGACUCAAAUUGAAGAAAGUAGGGAAAACCGUUAGACCAUUCAGGUAUGACCUAAAUCAAAUCCCUUAUGAUUAUACAGUGGAAGUGAGAAAUAGAUUUAAGGGCCUAAAUCUGAUAGAUAGAGUGCCUGAUGAACUAUGGAAUGAGGUUUGUGACAUUGUACAGGAGACAGGGAUCAAGACCAUCCCCAAGGAAAAGAAAUGCAAAAAAGCAAAAUGGCUGUCUGGGGAGGCCUUACAAAUAGCUGUGAAAAGAAGAGAGGUGAAAAGCAAAGGAGAAAAGGAAAGAUAUAAGCAUCUGAAUUCACAGUUCCAGAGAAUAGCAAGAAGACAUAAGAAAGCCUUCUUCAGCGAUCAAUGCAAAGAAAUAGAGGAAAACAGAAUGGGAAAGACUAGAGAUCUCUUCAAGAAAAUUAGAGAUACCAAGGGAACAUUUCAUGCAAAGAUGGGCUCGAUAAAGGACAGAAGUGGUAUGGACCUAACAGAAGCAGAAGAUAUUAAGAAGAGGUGGCAAGAAUACACAGAAGAACUGUACACAAAAGAUCUUCAUGACCCGGAUAAUCACAAUGGUGUGAUCACUCAUCUAGAGCCAGACAUCCUGGAAUGUGAAGUCAAGUGGGCCUUAGAAAACAUCACUACGAACAAAGCUAGUGGAGGUGAUGGAAUUCCAGUUGAGCUGUUUCAAAUCCUGAAAGAUGAUGCUGUGAAAGUGCUGCACUCAAUAUGCCAGCAAAUUUGGAAAACUCAGCAGUGGCCACAGGACUGGAAAAGGUCCGUUUUCAUUCCAAUCCCAAAGAAAGGCAAUGCCAAAGAAUGCUCCAACUACCGCACAAUUGCACUCAUCUCACAUGCUAGUAAAGUAAUGCUCAAAGUUCUCCAAGCCAGGCUCCAGCAAUACGUGAACCGUGAACUUCCAGAUGUUCAAGCUGGUUUUAGAAAAGGCAGAGGAACCAGAGAUCAAAUUGCCAACAUCCGCUGGAUCAUGGACAAAGCAAGAGAGUUCCAGAAAAACAUCUAUUUCUGCUUUAUUAACUAUGCCAAGGCCUUUGACUGUGUGGAUCACAAGAAACUGUGGAAAAUUCUGAGAGAGAUGGGAAUACCAGACCACCUGACCUGCCUCUUGAGAAAUCUGUAUGCAGGUCAGGAAGCAACAGUUAGAACUCGACAUGGCACAACAGACUGGUUCCAAAUAGGAAAAGGAGUACAUCAAGGCUGUAUAUUGUCACCCUGCUUAUUUAACUUCUAUGCAGAGUACAUCAUGAGAAACGCUGGGCUGGAAGAAGCACAAGCUGGAAUCAGGAUUGCCGGGAGAAAUAUCAAUAACCUCAGAUACGCAGAUGACACCACCGUUAUGGCAGAAAGUGAAGAGGAGCUAAAAAGCCUCUUGAUGAAAGUGAAAGAGGAGAGUGAAAAAGUCAGCUUAAAGCUCAACAUUCAGAAAACGAAGAUCAUGCCAUCCAGUCCCACCACUUCAUGGGAAAUAGAUGGGGAAACAGUGGAAACAGUGUCAGACUUUAUUUUUUUGGGCUCCAAAAUCACUGCAGAUGGUGACUGCAGCCAUGAAAUUAAAAGACGCUUACUCCUUGGAAGAAAAGUCAUGACCAACCUAGAUAGCAUAUUCAAAAGCAGAGACAUUACUUUGCCGACUAAGGUCCAUCUAGUCAAGGCUAUGGUUUUUCCAGUAGUCAUGUAUGGAUGUGAGAGUUGGACUGUGAAGAAGGCUGGGCGCCGAGGAAUUGAUGCUUUUGAACUGUGCUGUUGGAGAAGACUCUUGAGAGUCCCUUGGACUGUAAGGAGAUCCAACCAGUCCAUUCUGAAGAUCAGCCCUGGAAUUUCUUUGGAAGGAAUGAUGCUAAAGCUGAAACUCCAGUCCUUUGGCCACCUCAUGCGAAGAGUUGACUCAUUGGAAAGGACUCUGAUGCUGGGAGGGAUUGGGGCCAGGAGAAGAAGGGGACGACAGAGGAUAAGAUGGCUGGAUGGCAUCACUGACUCGAUGAAUGUGAAUCUGAGUGAACUCCGGGAGUUGGUGAUGGACAGGGAGGCCUGGCGUGCUGAGAUUCAUGGGGUUGCAAAGAGUCAGACACGACUGAGGGACUGA
rnacentral:lncRNA from 1 species